rnacentral:rRNA from 1 species
UACAGAGGUCUCAAGCGUUGUUCGGAUUCAUUGGGCGUAAAGGGUGUGUAGGUGGCGCCGUAAGUCGGGUGUGAAAUCUCGGGGCUUAACUCCGAAACUGCAUUCGAUACUGCGGUGCUCGAGGACUGGAGAGGAGACUGGAAUUCAUGGUGUAGCAGUGAAAUGCGUAGAGAUCAUGAGGAAGACCAGUGGCGAAGGCGGGUCUCUGGACAGUUCCUGACACUGAGACACGAAGGCCAGGGGAGCAAACGGG